rnacentral:rRNA from 1 species
GAUGAACGCUAGCUACAGGCUUAACACAUGCAAGUCGAGGGGAAACGACAUCGAAAGCUUGCUUUUGAUGGGCGUCGACCGGCGCACGGGUGAGUAACGCGUAUCCAACCUGCCCACCACUUGGGGAUAACCUUGCGAAAGUAAGACUAAUACCCAAUGAUAUCCCACGAAGGCAUCCGAAUGGGAUUAAAGAUUUAUCGCUGAUAGAUGGGCUCGCGUCCGAUUAGAUAGUUGGUGAGGUAACGGCCCACCAAGUCGACGAUCGGUAGCCGGACUGAGAGGUCGAACGGCCACAUUGGGACUGAGACACGGCCCAGACUCCUACGGGAGGCAGCAGUGGGGGAUAUUGCACAAUGGGGGAAACCCUGAUGCAGCGACGCCGCGUGAGGGAAGACGGUCCUCUGGAUUGUAAACCUCUGUCUUCGGGGACGAAACGAGACGGUACCCGAGGAGGAAGCCACGGCUAACUACGUG